GGAUGUGAGGGCGAUCUGGCUGUGACAUGUCACCCCAUUGAUCGCCAGAGUUGACUCAGCUGAUCUGGCUGGCUAGCCGGGUGUCCCCUUCCUCCCUCACCGCUCCAUGUGCGUCCCUCCCGAAGCUGGGCACUCUGGGGAAGAGGACGACCUUCCCUGAUAGAAGGAGGGUGGUCCUUCAGUCGAGGGUAUACGAGUAGCUGCGCUCCCUCCCCUGCUAGAUUCUCCAAACAAGUCUGAAGAAAGCCCUGUUAGAGUCUAAAGAAUCCAUAGCACAGAGACCAUGU
rnacentral:snRNA from 1 species